GACGAACCGUGCGAACGUUAUUCGGAAUCACUGGGCUUAAAGGGCGCGUAGGCGGGCCGAAAAGCCAGGGGUGAAAUCCUCCAGCCCAACUGGAGAAGCGCCUUUGGAACUGGCGGCCUCGAGGGGUGCAGGGGCAUGCGGAACUCAGGGUGGAGCGGUGAAAUGCGUAGAUAUCGGUAGGAACACCGGUGGCGAAGGCGGGUCUCUGGGCCGAUACUGACGCUGAGGAGCGAAAGCGUGGGGAGCGAACAGG
rnacentral:rRNA from 1 species